rnacentral:rRNA from 1 species
AGCGAACGCUGGCGGCAGGCUUAACACAUGCAAGUCGAACGGGUCCUUCGGGACUAGUGGCAGACGGGUGAGUAACGCGUGGGAACGUGCCUUUCGGUUCGGAAUAACCCAGGGAAACUUGGAUUAAUACCGGAUACGCCCUUCGGGGGAAAGAUUUAUCGCCGAAAGAUCGGCCCGCGUCUGAUUAGCUAGUUGGUGAGGUAAUGGCUCGCCAAGGCGACGAUCAGUAGCUGGUCUGAGAGGAUGAUCAGCCACACUGGGACUGAGACACGGCCCAGACUCCUACGGGAGGCAGCAGUGGGGAAUAUUGGACAAUGGGCGCAAGCCUGAUCCAGCCAUGCCGCGUGAGUGAUGAAGGCCUUAGGGUUGUAAAGCUCUUUUGUCCGGGAAGAUAAUGACUGUACCGGAAGAAUAAGCCCCGGCUAACUUCGUGCCAGCCGCCGCAGUAAUAC